GGAGAGGUGGCUGAGAGGUUGAAAGCGACAGAUUGCUAAUCUGUUGUAUAAGAUUUAUUAUACCGAGGGUUCGAAUCCCUUCCUCUCCU
rnacentral:tRNA from 1 species